UGGUUCUGGCAUCGAUGAAGAACGCAGCGAAAUGCGAUAAGUAAUGUGAAUUGCAGAAUUCAGUGAAUCAUCGAAUCUUUGAACGCACAUUGCACCCUCUAGUAUUCUGGAGGGUAUGCCUGUUCGAGCGUCAUUACAACCCUCAAGCCUAGCUUGGUAUUGGGCCCCACCGCUACGGUGAGCCCUAAAAUCAGCGGCGGAGCCGUCCGGUUUCCAGCGUAGUAAAUUUCUCGCUGCGGGAGCGAGACGCGCCCUGCCAGCAAUCACCCCCAUCAAGGUUGACCUCGGAUCAGGUAGGGAUACCCGCUGA
rnacentral:misc_RNA from 1 species